rnacentral:rRNA from 1 species
AGUAGUUUGAUCAGUGGCUCGAGGACGAACGCUGGCGGUGUGCUUCACACAUGCAAGUCGAACGAGGUAGCAAUACCUAGUGGCGGACGGGUGAGUAACGCGUGGGAAUCUGCCUUUAGAUGGGGGAUAACGGGUCGAAAGACUCGCUAAUACCGCAUAUGACGAAAGUUGAAAGGAGUAAUCCGUCUAAAGAUGAGCCCGCGUCCGAUUAGCUAGUUGGUAGAGUAAAAGCCUACCAAGGCGACGAUCGGUAGCUGGUCUGAGAGGAUGAUCAGCCACAAUGGGACUGAGACACGGCCCAUACUCCUACGGGAGGCAGCAGUGGGGAAUUUUACGCAAUGGGCGAAAGCCUGACGUAGCGACACCGCGUGAGCGAAGAAGCCCCUUGGGGUGUAAAGCUCUGUCAGCUGGAACGAAAAAAUGACGGUACCAGCAGAGGAAGCAUCGGCUAACUACGUG